rnacentral:rRNA from 1 species
UCCAGACUCCUACGGGAGGCAGCAGUGGGGAAUAUUGCGCAAUGGGCGAAAGCCUGACGCAGCGACGCCGCGUGAGGGAUGAAGGUCUUCGGAUCGUAAACCUCUGUCAGCAGGGAAGAACGGUCACUGUGCUAAUCAGCAGUGAAUUGACGGUACCUGCAAAGGAAGCACCGGCUAACUCCGUGCCAGCAGCCGCGGUAAUACGGAGGGUGCAAGCGUUGUCCGGAAUCAUUGGGCGUAAAGAGUUCGUAGGCGGUAUGUUAAGUCUGGUGUUAAAUGCAGAAGCUCAACUUCUGUUCGGCACUGGAUACUGGCAAACUAGAAUGUGGUAGAGGUAAAGGGAAUUCCUGGUGUAGCGGUGAAAUGCUUAGAUAUCAGGAGGAACAUCGGUGGCGUAAGCGCUUUACUGGGCCGUAAUUGACGCUGAGGAACGAAAGCCAGGGUAGCAAAUGGGAUUAGAUACCCUAGUAAG